UAAGGAAUAUUGGUCAAUGGACGCAAGUCUGAACCAGCCAUGCCGCGUGAAGGAUGAAGGUCCUCUGGAUUGUAAACUUCUUUUAUCUGGGACGAAAACGGGAUUUUUAUCUCAAUUGACGGUACCAGAGGAAUAAGCACCGGCUAACUCCGUGCCAGCAGCCGCGGUAAUACGGAGGGUGCGAGCGUUAUCCGGAUUUACUGGGUUUAAAGGGUGCGUAGGUGGGCUUAUAAGUCAGUGGUGAAAUCUCCGAGCUUAACUUGGAAACUGCCGUUGAUACUAUAGGUCUUGAAUUAUCUGGAGGUAAGCGGAAUAUGUCAUGUAGCGGUGAAAUGCUUAGAUAUGACAUAGAGCACCAAUUGCGAAGGCAGCUUACUACAUAUAAAUUGACGCUGAGGCACGAGAGCGUGGGGAUCAAACA
rnacentral:rRNA from 1 species